AUGUAUCAUAACAACUUUUAUUUUAAUUUUUUAGGGUCGUGGUAUUCCUGGACCUCCUGGUCCUCCAGGGGGGGCAGGACUUCCGGGAGAGCUUGGCCGUGUUGGACCAAUUGUGAGUACUGCACACAGCACAUUGAUAGUAGACAUUUGCUGAUUAGGGUAGGAAAAUUGUCCUGUGUGUUUUCCUCUGCAAAUCCAAAAAAUGGCAGAUGAAUUGCAUUCUCGUUUAUAAUAUUGAUGGGAGCCAGGGAUAAUAGUGCUACCUCAUUUUUGUAAAGUGAUUUUAUCUUUUUCCCCAAAAUUCUUCAGCUAAACUUUUCUUCCCAACUUCUAGAAAUAUUGACCAAAUUGAGGAGUGUCACCUUCAUUUUACAGACUUUCAGCCAGGAUUGGGGUCCAGUGUCUUUUGUAUUAGACUCUUUGCAUGAAAUGAAGUGAAUAGUCUAAAAUUAUUACCAUGCACGUUUAUGCUAGAAUCAUAAAAUUAUAAUUGAACCCACAGAACUUAAUUUUAGUCAAUAAAAUGCUGAACUUCAUGGAAGAAAUUGCUAUAGUAAGAGCUUGGUGUUAAUAUUCUGUAAUUACUCCAAAAAAUGUUGAUGUCAUCAUGUUAUCUAAAGGAUAGAUAAUAAUAAAUUCAUUGAGAGUCAGAGCCAGUAUUAUAUACCUUACUUUGCUUCUCUGUUGAUGCUUCUGUUUGACAAGUUUAUUUGCUGAACAAAUGAAUGAAUAAAUAUGAAAUGAUUGUAAAAUUGAUUGUAAGAUGCUUUUGACUUCUUCUGAGAGAAAGUUAAGAAGGAAGACAUACCAGGAGGAAUCUCUGGAUAUAUGGCUGAUUGGAAUAUAUUUUCACCUGAGUGGCUCAUUUGAACUUAGCCAUCUCUGAUCUUCUGUGCCACUUGCAAGAGAGUACAGUGACUGAGUAAUAGUGUCACCAUGAAGAGCCCAAGGAUGUCUGGCGCUGCAGAGAUUGCCUUCCCUUUCUUGGCUGCAUGCUGGUGCCAGUGCUCCUUGCCAGAUGUUAGCUGGACUGCAGCAGACCAGACUUUUUUCCCCCAAGUCUCCCUCUGCCUUGUUUUAUUACUUUGGUGAUGAGACUGAAACUCCUUUAUUCUUCUGGUUUUGAGGAGUUAAUUGGAUUUUGGUGGCAGGUUCAUGCAGGCUGAGCUCUGUAGGCUUUCUCGGAAGGUCAUGCCUCACCAGUUUUAUGUGCUGUGUUUUGACACGUGUAUAACCCCUGUGUCACAAUUCUCAAAUAACUUAGGGCGACCCUGGGAGAAGAGGACCACCUGGCCCCCCUGGCCCCCCGGGACCCAGCGUAAGUUAUUUCGAGCUUGAAUUUCUCUGCAUCUGAGAAUUGGGGUUAAAGAAACCUAAGUACCCAAAAUGGAAAUACCUUUAAAGUAAGUCAUUGUCCUAAAAUUCCAAAAUGGCUACUUUUUUUUUUUUUUCCACUCAUCAGAGCAAUGGUCUUUUUAGGCCUGAAAGUAGAGGAAUCACAAUGAUUUAAAAGAUGGUUCACACAGAAUGUUUUACUCUUUAUAUUUGCAGUCUUUUGAGGCUUGUGAUUUCUCAAAACUCAAAACCUGGAUAUAUAAAAGGGAAUUUUUUCAGAGGAACUUGUUUUUACAAAGGAUUUACAUAGUAAGCAGUUUUAAAAAUGAGGUUAAUUAGGAGAUAAAACAUAUUUUAAAUUUGUGAUUCAGAGUAUUUUCUAUUCUGCCUCUCAUUUUGUUUUCCUUCAAAAUCUCUGAAAAAUAUUAAUCUACUGCAAUUUAGGGUUCUCUAAAUGAAAUAGCCCCUAGGAAUUCCCAUCAUGGCUCAGAGGUAAUGAACCCGACUAGGAUCCAUAAGGAUGUGGGUUUGAUCUCUGGCCUCACUCAGUGGGUUAAGGAUCCGGCAUUGCCGGGAGCUGUGGUUGCUGUAAGCUGUGUUGUAGGUUGCAGAUGCGGCUUGGAUCCCUUGUUGCUAUGGUGUAGGCCAGCAGCUACAGCUCUGAUUUGACCUGUAGCUUAGAAACUUCCA
rnacentral:lncRNA from 1 species